GUGGGGAAUAUUGCACAAUGGGCGAAAGCCUGAUGCAGCAACGCCGCGUGAGGGACGACGGCCUUCGGGUUGUAAACCUCUUUUAGUAGGGAAGAAGCGAAAGUGACGGUACCUGCAGAAAAAGCACCGGCUAACUACGUGCCAGCAGCCGCGGUAAUACGUAGGGUGCAAGCGUUAUCCGGAAUUAUUGGGCGUAAAGAGCUCGUAGGCGGUCUGUCGCGUCUGCUGUGAAAACUGGAGGCUCAACCUCCAGCCUGCAGUGGGUACGGGCAGAAUAGAGUGCGGUAGGGGAGAGUGGAAUUCCUGGUGUAGCGGUGUAAUGCGCAGAUAUCAGGAGGAACACCGAUGGCGAAGGCAGAUCUCUGGGCCGUAACUGACGCUGAGGAGCGAAAGCGUGGGGAGCGAACAGGAUUAGAUACCCGAGUAGUCC
rnacentral:rRNA from 1 species